UUUCGCAAUGCCCGAAAGGGUGACGAAGCGACGCCGCGUGUGGGAAGAAGGCCUUCGGGUUGUAAACCGCUGUCGGGAGUUAAGAAAUGUAAGGAUGUUAAUAGCAUCUUUGCUUGACUAAGGCUCCGGAGGAAGCCACGGCUAACUCUGUGCCAGCAGCCGCGGUAAUACAGAGGCGGCAAGCGUUGUUCGGAAUUAUUGGGCGUAAAGAGCACGUAGGCGGCCUUGUAAGUCGGUUGUGAAAGCCUUCCGCUCAACGGGAGAGCAGCAUCCGAUACUGCAUGGCUUGAGUGCGGGAGGGGAGAGUGGAACUUCUGGUGGAGCGGUGAAAUGCGUAGAUAUCAGAAGGAACGCCGGCGGCGAAAGCGGCUCUCUGGCCCAUAACUGACGCUGAGUGUGCGAAAGCUAGGGGAGCAAACGGGAUUAGAUACCCCGGUAGUCCUAGCCGUAAACGAUGGGCACUAAGUAGAGGGGUUUUA
rnacentral:rRNA from 1 species